rnacentral:rRNA from 1 species
AUUGAACGCUGGCGGCAGGCCUAACACAUGCAAGUCGAACGGUAACAGGAAGCAGCUUGCUGCUUUGCUGACGAGUGGCGGACGGGUGAGUAAUGUCUGGGAAACUGCCUGAUGGAGGGGGAUAACUACUGGAAACGGUAGCUAAUACCGCAUAACGUCGCAAGACCAAAGAGGGGGACCUUCGGGCCUCUUGCCAUCGGAUGUGCCCAGAUGGGAUUAGCUAGUAGGUGGGGUAACGGCUCACCUAGGCGACGAUCCCUAGCUGGUCUGAGAGGAUGACCAGCCACACUGGAACUGAGACACGGUCCAGACUCCUACGGGAGGCAGCAGUGGGGAAUAUUGCACAAUGGGCGCAAGCCUGAUGCAGCCAUGCCGCGUGUAUGAAGAAGGCCUUCGGGUUGUAAAGUACUUUCAGCGGUGAGGAAGGGAGUAAAGUUAAUACCUUUGCUCAUUGACGUUACCCGCAGAAGAAGCACCGGCUAACUCCGUG